rnacentral:lncRNA from 1 species
ACAAAAAACCCCACGAAUCCUACCAUGUUACUUCCCUUGCUUAAAACCUUAGUAGCUUCUCAUAUUAUGUUGCCACCCUGUUGAUUUUCCUCAUAGCUCUUAACUCACAGGAAUUAACAGUACUUGCUCUGUCCCCACUGGCGUGUAAGCUCUUUGAGGGCAGAGACCUUCUGGUCAGUGCUGUAUCAUCACACCUAGAACAUGGCCCGGCACAAAACAGGUGCUCAACAAGCACUUGUUAAGUAAACAUCUCCUACAAUACUCCUAUGAUCAUGUGGUUUUACAAAACUUAAGAGUUUUAAAAUCCAUUACAACUCUUCAACUCUAAGAUGCAUUUUCCAUCCCCUACAUUUCUACCUUUUUCCAAUCAGGACAUAGCUUACAAAUGAUAUACUUAAUGUAGUAGGGUUUUUCCACUAUUUCUCCUCAAAGGGCAUUUAAUAAAAUGAAAGUAACUUUGCAAUUGAGAAAAUAUGAUAAAAAAAUACCUUUAGGUGCAAUCUUUCAAGAGCCUAGGCACGUAAAACAUCCUGUCUACUUAAUUCUCACAACCUCUGAUGAUAGGAAUUCACAUGGCUAAUAAUGGCAGUCAGAGUUCCAACACAGACCUAUCUAGUGCCAAAGCUACAUGCAAUCUUUUUACUACAUUCCACAGUUGCUCUGUCUUACCUCUGUGUAACAGACGGAAACAAAAUCGUAUAAAACCACAGAAUUCACCUACAGUAUGAGGCAAUCCAAUUAAAGGAAAAGUCAUUCUCAGAACAGCUUUUAUUUAGUUUCAGAUUUGCAAAGGGAGACGUGACAUCAAGUUUGGAAGAAAGCUGAAUUACUGGGACUAACAGAGUGAAAAGAAUAUGGACUUUCAAGGUAGGUUCUCUCUCUUUUGCCAUGUGAGGACACAGCAAGAAAACCUUCAUCAGAAGCUGGUUCUUUGAUCACGGACUUCCCAGGCUCCAAAACUGUGAGAAAUAAAUGUCUGUUCUUUAAAAAUUACCCAGUCUGUGGUACUGUAUUAUGGAAGCAUGCAAUGGACAAAGACAACACCAUUGAAAACGUCUUCAAAUGACUGCAUUAUUAUUUAGUAUUGAAAUGAAAAUGAUUUUGGAAGAGAAAGACACAGAAACAGAGCAGUGAGAUAUAUAUUUGAUAUACCUGUGACACAAACAUUCCUCAUUUGAGGAAUAACUGCCAACAUCUAAGCUUGGAAGACUUUUGACAGGAAUUUGGAAGAAAAUCCUAGUCAAUAAUGGAACACCCCCAACUCCUUCUCUUGCCUCUCUCUCACUCACUCGCCCCAGGGAAGCACAUGACUGUGGCAGGAGGCCAUUCAGGUAGCCCUGCAGAGAGGCUCAAGUGGUAAGAGUAUUAGUCUGUUUCACACUCCUGAUAAAGGCAUACCCACGACUGGGCAAUUUACAAAAGAAAGAGGUUUAAUAGACUUACAGUUCUACGUGGCUAGGGAGGACUCACAAUCAUGGUGGAAGGUGAAAGGCAUGUCUCACAUGGCGGCAGACAAACGAGAAGAAGGUGCGGGCAGGGAACCUCCCCUUUAUAAAACCAUCAGAUCUCAUAAGACUUAUUCACUAUCACAAGAACAGCAGAGAAAGACCUGCCCCCAUGAUUCAAUUACCUCCCACCAGGUCCCUCCCACAACACAUGGGAAUUCAAGAUAAGAUUUGGGUGGGAAUACAGCCAAACCAUAUCUCUACAGAAAGAAACAGAUCUCCCGCCACAGCCAGUGAGGAAAUGAGGUCUCUUGACAACACCUGUGAGAGAGCCAUCUGAGAAGAUCCUCCAACCCUGGGGAAACCUUCAGAUGACUGCAGACCUGGCUGACAGUCUGACUGCUGCCUCACGAGAGACCCUCAGCCAGGACUACCCAGCUAAGCCACUUCUGGACUACUAGCCUCAGAAACUGUGUGAGAUAAUAAACAGUUGUUGUUUUUCACUUCUGACUUGGGGGUAAUUUAUUAAUGCAGCAAUAGAUAACUGACAUAAAAGAAACCAAAGCUAGAAAAGCUUACAUUUGCAAAAGUUGUAAUUAAUAAAACUGGGUUAGCUGGCUUUUAGGAAGUAAAGAAAAAGAUAAUUAAAACUUAUAAAACUUAAUUUCCUGCACCU